CAUUUAUAUAAUAAAAGACUAUUUUCAUGAAUUUGUUGUUUAAUCAAGUGGUAUGGCAUUGUCGUGGGGUCGCCUUGGGUGGUUGGUGCGUCGUGAAAUUUUUCCUAUCAAUUUAGUGAAGAGAGAGAGAAACUUUUCCCUUUGGCCGAUUUGCUGAGUUUCUUUUGCCGAUUUGCUGGUUUUCUUUAAAGAGAAAGGAAAUGCAUUCUGCCUAAUUGAUUUGCCUUGAUACAAUGAGUCGUAUACACAAAGUACCAAAAAAUGUAUAAAUCAUUUAAAUAAUUUUGGAAAAUUCUAAGUUGUUCGGAAAAUAACUUUUUGUUGUUGUCUUUGAGCUAACGUUUCCAACCUAGCAACUUCGUCCUUUUUCGCACCCAAAACUUUCACGACUAGAGACCACAAAACACUGGGACUCAAUUAAUUAUCAAGAAAUGUAAUUAAAUUCUAUUAUUAAUUCAUCUCCAUAUAUAAUGUAAUGCAGUAUUAAGAGUAAUUCUGUUUGUGCAGAGCACCACUAAUAUCUAACAAUUUUUGUGAUAAAUAUGCAUCAAUGAUGUUCCGAAGCUUCUGUUAUAAAAUGAUUAUUAAUGUUCUCUAGAUAGAUGGAUAAAGGGAAGGAGCACACAUAGGAGCACGCAUCUCCUAUAACACUUCCUACUGCAUAUCCAUCAACAAUUCCUACAACCCAGGUGCUACCAAUAUCAUUGUAUGAUGGUUUCUCAAAUUAUAUGCAUGGUUGCCAUCCACCAAUGACACAUGUUUUUACCACCAUUUGUCCCUAGUGCUGAUGCCAAUCCAUCUACUUGGACCACACAGGAAAAUUUAAUAGGGAUGUCUUGGUGUGGAUGGAACACAGCUGGAUAGUGGAUAAUAGGGAUGGAACACAGCCAGAUGUUGGAGAUUUUGCUUUAUGGUAAUAGGGAUGGAACCAUUGAUGUAUGAACCAUAUACCUCACUACUAUCUGUAAAUAUAUAACCCUUUCAACAUUUUGGUAGUAAUCACAAAUCUUGCUGUUUUUUAAUAUUACAAUUGUGUAUUUUGAGGAAGCUAAACUAAAUGUAAUAGAAGGAAGAUUAUGAUUCUUCAAUUUGUA